CACGUAGGGUGCGAGCGUUGUCCGGAAUUAUUGGGCGUAAAGAGCUCGUAGGCGGUUUGUCGCGUCUGCCGUGAAAGUCCGGGGCUCAACUCCGGAUCUGCGGUGGGUACGGGCAGACUAGAGUGAUGUAGGGGAGACUGGAAUUCCUGGUGUAGCGGUGAAAUGCGUAGAUAUCUGGAGGAAUACCGGUGGCGAAGGCGGCAUCCUGGACCGACAUUGACGCUGAUGAGUGAAAGCUAGGGGAGCAAACGGG
rnacentral:rRNA from 1 species